rfam:Triticum aestivum genome assembly, contig: Triticum_aestivum_CS42_TGACv1_scaffold_640738_T_7AS-0.124927_1AL-0.072544
UUUGUACUCCCUCCGUCUAGAAUUACUCGUCGAAGAAAUAGAUAAAAAUGGAUGUAUCUGAAACUAAAAUACAUCUAGAUACAUUCAUUCCCCCGACAAGUAUUUCCGGACGGAGGGAGUAUUAA